ensembl:lncRNA
CCCGCUCCCCACCCCCCGCUCCGCCCGGGGGAAAACCUCCGGGAACGAGCGGACCCAUCCCCGCCUCUCCUCCCCCUCCUCCUCCUCCUCCUCCCCCUUCUCCUUCUCGCCCGGUGCCGCCGGGAUGAGCCUCCCACGAUUUCGUUUCCAUUUCGGGCAACAACGAUUCCCGCUCCCCCGCCUCCCUCCGCCUCCCGCCAGCCCCGCGCUCGCUUUCCCCUCCGAGGAAAAAAACGAAAAAACGCCGAGAAAACGGCUAAAAGCAAAAAGCCCCACAGCCCCAAAUUCUCUUUGCUGGAAUCGGUUCAGUCCCCGCCGCUCCUCGGCGCCCGGUGAGUCCCCUCUGCUCCCCGCUUCUCUCCCGUCGAGCCCGGAGCGGUCCCCGCCGCUCCCCCGGUGCCCACCGCGCUCCGGCGCAUCCCGGUUUUCCCCGGCGGGUGCAAAAUUCCCGAUCCCCGCCGCUCCCGGGCGGUUUUCCCCCUCCCCGAUGGAUCCCGGGGCUCCUCGGUCCCCGCCACUCCCGGGCGAUGCUCCCGUGCCCCGGUGGGUGCCGACAUUCCCGGUCCCCGCCGCUCCCGGCCGGUUCUCUCCAGCCCCCGAUGGAUAUUGGUGCUCCCCGGUCCCCGCCGCUCCCGGGAGCUGAUCCUCGAUUCUUGCCGGGAGCUGAUCCCCGGUCCCCGCCACUCCCGGGAGCUGAUCCCCGGUCCCCGCCACUCCCGUUCCCGGUGGGUCCCGCUCUCCCGGUUCAGCACCGGAUGAACCGGGACAGCUCCGCGCCCCUCAAGGUGCCGGGGGCUCCCCAAUCCCCAAUCCCCGAUUCCCGAUCACCAAUCCCCGAUCCCCAUUUCCCAAUCCCUGGUCCCCAAUCCCCCAUUCCCGGUCCCCAACCCCCGAUCCCCAAUCCUGAUCCCCAAUCCCCAAUCCUCAAUCCCCGGUCCCCAAUCCCCGAUUCUUGGUCCCAAAUCCUUGAUCCCCAAUCCCCAAUCCUCAAUUCCCGGUCCCCAAUCCCAAUCCCCAAUCCCCAAUCCUCAAUCCCCGAUCCCCAAUCCCCGAUUCCCGGUCCCAAAUCCUUGAUCCCCGAUCCCCAAUCCUCAAUCCCCGGUCCCCAAUCCCCAAUCCUCAAUUCCCAGUCCCCAAUCUCGAUCCCCGCUCCCCAGUCCCAAUUCCCGCUCCCCAGUCCCAAUCCCCGCUCCCCAAUCCCCAAUCCCCGAUCCCCAAUCCUCAAUCCCCGAUCCCCAGUCCCCAAUCCCGAUUCCCGGUCCCCAAUCCUCAAUCCCUUGUCCCCAGUCCCAAUCCCUGGUCCCCAAUCCUCAAUCCCCGAUCCCCAAUCCUCAAUCCCCGCUCCCCAAUCCUCAAUCCCCGAUCCCCAAUCCUCAAUCCCCGCUCCCCAAUCCCCAAUCCCCGCUCCCCAAUCCUCAAUCCCCGAUCCCCAAUCCUCAAUCCCCGGUCCCCAGUCCCAAUUCCCGCUCCCCAGUCCCAAUCCCCGCUCCCCAAUCCCGAUCCCCGCUCCCCAAUCCCAAUUCCCGAUCCCAAAUCCCCAAUCCCCGAUCCCCAAUCCUCAAUCCCCGAUCCCCAAUCCCAAUCCCCGCUCCCCAAUCCCCUAUUCCCGGUCCCCAAUCCCAAUCCCCGAUCCCAAAUCCCCUAUUCCCGGUCCCCAAUCCCCUCCCCUCGGUGUGUUUUGGGUAGAGUAGCCUUGUAGCCAAGUGUGUGUGUGCCGCAGACGCGCCCGGAGCCGGUGGCCGAGGUCGCCCCGGUGGCCCCGGUGGCCACCAGCCCGCUCGCCGCUCGCCCCGGUGCGGCGGAGAGCCGCGGGCGCUUUCUCUGCG